rnacentral:tmRNA from 1 species
GGAGGCGAUUUAAAUGUGCAAAAGAUUUGAUCGUAAUAAAGAAAAUUUUGUUGAUUUAGUGUAUGAAAUGAAGGAAUUUUCCGAACAACAAAUAACACAAAUAUUUAUUAAAGAAAACAAUGAAAUAAUUAUAGAUGAGCAUGCCUCGAUUAGGGAUGUUUUGGAUAAUUUAAAGGAAAUUGGAUCACUGAGAUUCGAUGGUUUGCUCUAUAGGGUUGUGCCUGAUGUAGAAAGACUAAGCUUUAACCCUUUUUCUUUUCAUGUAUUAGCAUAAAGUAUUUAUUCAGAAACUGUGUGCGUGCUUCUACUCUGCAUCGCCCAUGUGACAGGGAUAGGGGCUAACAAAUAGUGGGAUCGCUGUCUCAUCUCCGCCUGCGGUGAGCUGAAGAAGACAAUCAGGCUGACCCAACGUAUAGCCAGUUACGGGGCGAUACUCGGGUGACAUCAAAACUGUAACUACACUCGUAGAAGCUUAUGUGCCGUUAUCUUCGGACAGGGGUUCGACUCCCCUCGGCUCCAUAU